rnacentral:rRNA from 1 species
CGCUGGCGGCAGGCCUAACACAUGCAAGUCGAGCGGUAGAGAGAAGCUUGCUUCUCUUGAGAGCGGCGGACGGGUGAGUAAUGCCUAGGAAUCUGCCUGGUAGUGGGGGAUAACGUUCGGAAACGGACGCUAAUACCGCAUACGUCCUACGGGAGAAAGCAGGGGACCUUCGGGCCUUGCGCUAUCAGAUGAGCCUAGGUCGGAUUAGCUAGUUGGUGGGGUAAUGGCUCACCAAGGCGACGAUCCGUAACUGGUCUGAGAGGAUGAUCAGUCACACUGGAACUGAGACACGGUCCAGACUCCUACGGGAGGCAGCAGUGGGGAAUAUUGGACAAUGGGCGAAAGCCUGAUCCAGCCAUGCCGCGUGUGUGAAGAAGGUCUUCGGAUUGUAAAGCACUUUAAGUUGGGAGGAAGGGCAGUAAAUUAAUACUUUGCUGUUUUGACGUUACCGACAGAAUAAGCACCGGCUAACUCUGUGCCAGCAGCCGCGGUAAUACAGAGGGUGCAGGCGUUAAUCGGAAUUACUGGGCGUAAAGCGCGCGUAGGUGGUUCGUUAAGUUGGAUGUGAAAUCCCCGGGCUCAACCUGGGAACUGCAUUCAAAACUGACGAGCUAGAGUAUGGUAGAGGGUGGUGGAAUUUCCUGUGUAGCGGUGAAAUGCGUAGAUAUAGGAAGGAACACCAGUGGCGAAGGCGACCACCUGGACUGAUACUGACACUGAGGUGCGAAGGCGUGGGGAGCAAAC